GACGAACGCUGGCGGCGUGCUUAACACAUGCCAGUCGAACGGGCCUGUCUUCUUUUUUGGGGGGUGGGUUGAGUGGCGAACGGGUGAGUAUCACGUGAGUAACCUGCCCUUCGGUCCUGGAUAACCGCUUGAAAGGGCGGCUAAUACGGGGUGGUCCGGUUGGUCCGCAUGGGCUGGUCGGGAUAGAUUCACUGUUUUUGGUGUUUCGGCGGGGGAUGGGCUCGCGGCCUAUCAGCUUGUUGGUGGGGUGAUGGCCUACCAAGGCGGUGACGGGUAGCCGGCCUGAGAGGGUGGGCGGCCACACUGGGACUGAGAUACGGCCCAGACUCCUGCGGGAGGCAGCAGUGGGGGGUAUUGCACAAUGGGCGGAAGCCUGAUGCAGCGACGUCGCGUGAGGGAGGGAGGCCUUCGGGUUGUGAACCUCUGUUUCCGGUGGUGAAGGCCCUGUCCGUGUGGUGGGGUUGACGGUAGCCGGGGAUGAAGCGCCGGCUAACUACGUG
rnacentral:rRNA from 1 species